rnacentral:rRNA from 1 species
AUGGCGAUGGAGGCGCGGAUGAAGGGGACGGUCAAGUGGUUCAACGACACCAAGGGGUUCGGCUUCAUCUCCCCCGACGACGGCAGCGAGGACCUCUUCGUGCACCAGUCCUCCAUCAAGGCCGACGGCUUCCGCUCGCUGGCCGAGGGCGAGGUGGUCGAGUUCGCCGUCUCGGAGGGCGACGACGGCCGCACCAAGGCCGUCGACGUCACCGGCCCCGACGGAUCCUUCGUGCAGGGCGGCGCGGGCGGCGGCGGGGGCGGCUUCGGAUCCCGCGGCGGCGGCGGAUCUCGCGGCGGCGGGGGCUUCGGCGGCCGCGGCGGGGACGGAUCUGGCGGGUACGGAGGUGGGUAUGGCGGUGGUGGCAGCGGCGGCUGGGGCGGCCAGAGGAGAUCCGGCGGUGGAGGCGCCGGUGGGGCCUGCUUCAAGUGCGGGGAGCCUGGCCACAUGGCCAGGGACUGCUCGGUCAACGGCCCCGCUGGUGGCGGCGGCGGCGGCGGCUGCUACAACUGCGGCGAGCCGGGCCACAUCGCGAGGGACUGCCCCACCAGCAGCGGCUUUGGCGGGGGCGGCGGCGGGAGGUUCGGCGGAGGAGGCGGCGGCGGCGGCGACCGCACCUGCUACCACUGCGGCGAGACCGGCCACAUCUCCCGCGACUGCACCAAGUGA